rnacentral:misc_RNA from 1 species
AAGUCGUAACAAGGUCUCCGUAGGUGAACCUGCGGAGGGAUCAUUAACAAAAAUCAAAAAAAACAAAAACAAAGAUUCAUUUCUUUCUUUUCGUUUUUUUUUAUUCAAAAACACUUUGCGAACCAUGUGACUGACCAAGUUGUUGUAACACUUGAUUUCGAAAGAACUCAAUUGCUCUCUUGGCUUUUUUUUCACUAACAACCAAUUUCACCAAAUUUUUUCUCGCUCAUUUUUUUCAUGUAAAUGAAGGAAGGAAGGCAGAAAAAGCCAAUUGAAUAUCAAAAACUGAAAAGUUGAAAAUUUAAUUUCGAAUUUUUUCUUUUUCACAAAAUAAAAAAACAAAAUUAAAGCACAACUCUUAGCAACGGAUAUCUUGGUUCUC